CUCUCUCUCAUUCCCCCUUUCUUCAUCUUCCUAGACAAUAACAAAAACUUUUUUCUACACAUUUCCUUCUUUUCUCUUCCUUUCCUUCUCCCACCAUAAACACACCAACAACUACAACUUCAACCCAAUUUUCCUGCUCCAUCAUUCUAUUUUCCCCCAACCAAAAAAAAACUCACAACACAAAACCUAGUUUCCCAUUCCAACACCAAAACUUCAGAGUUUAGACGUUUGUUUUUGUUGAUCAUGGAGUCUGCAUCUGGUGGAGCGUCUCCAACAAGUACACUACCACUUGAGGCAAGAAACAUGGAAGCUCCACCGGUAUCAUCUGCGGCGAUGGCAACCCUAAACCCUGCAUUGUGAAAAAUGCCG
rnacentral:lncRNA from 1 species